rnacentral:lncRNA from 1 species
AUUGAUAAAUAAUAAAAAUUAUUUGACCUUAUUCAUCACAAGGUUAUAUCUUCUAAUGAAUUCUUAUGUUGUGAUGAAGUCCUUAGGAUUACUUUGAUUGAUAAAAGAGGAUUUAUCGCAUAAUGUUUAAAUUGGUUCGCGACCAAACGAUACGCUAUUACUAGGACAAUAGCGAUAUCAAGUGUUGGUCAUUGUGUGCCAUAUGCAUUGGUUGUCCUCGUAACCAAAUGAUGUAGAGACACUGGUAUGGCAUGCAGGUG